UUUUUUUUUUUUUUUUUGAGACAGAGUCUCACACUGUCACCCAGGCUGGAGUGCAGUGGCAUGAUCUCAGCUUAUUGUAACCUCUGCCUCCUAGGUGCCCAGCUCCUGGAGUAGCUGGGACUAUAGGAGCGCACCACCACACCCAGCUAAUUUUUGUGUUUUUAGUAGAGACGGGAUUUCACGAUGUUGGCCAGGAUGGACUCAAUCUCUUGACCUCGUGAUCUGCCUGCCUCAGCCUCCCAAAGUACUGGGAUUACAGGCAUGAGCCACUGGCACCCAGCCUCUAUCAUCUUUUUAGUAGAGAUGUGAUCUUGUUAUGUUGUCCAUGCUCUGGAUAUAUAUUUCUUUUUUAACUUUAAUUAUUAUUUUUUAAUAGAGACGUUGUCUCACCAUGUUGUCCCUGGAUAGUCUUGAACUCCUGGGUUCCAGGUAUCCUCCGUGGCCUCCCAAAGUGCUGAGAUUACAGGUGUGAGCCAGCAUGCACGGUCUGGUCAUGUUUUUGAUGUGUUGAUUCUUUCCAGUCCGGAUGCAUAAUCUCAUGUCUGAACAUUCCUGCUAGUGUGAUUAUGUUAUAUGACUUAGCCCAGCACCAGAGUGAUUUGGUGCUCCUGCCUUGGCCCAGCCCAUGGAAGGGAUUGUGACAUAUAACUAGACCCAGUACCGAGGUGAUGUGACUAUUCUACUGCCUUGUCACUGCCCACAGGGGACAUUGUGGCAUCACUGCAUCUUGUACCCAGGUGGUGUGAAUCUUGUCUCCUGCCUUGGCUCUUCCACAGGGGACAUUGUGUCAUAUCGCUGGGACCCACACAUAGGUUAUGUGACCCUCCUGCCUGUGCCCUGCCUGUGUGGGCCACUGUGACUUUUGUGGGGUCCAACACCCAGGUGAUGUAAGUCUACUGCCGAGGUCCUGCCUACAGAAGAUAUUGUGGCAUAUUCCUGCACCCAUCACUCAGGUAAUGCAGCUCUCUUCUCCUGCCUGGCCCCUGCUAAUAGAAGGGAUUGUGAUGUAUUACUGGCUCAGCACCUAGCUCACAUGACUCUCCCCCUCUUUCUUUCUAGGUUCUGCCCACAGAGGAUAUUGUGACAUGUCACUGGGCCUAAUACUACAGUGACAUACUCUUCUGCCUUGACACUGCCCUUAGAAGGCAUGGUGGUGUAUUGCUGGGCCCAGAACCAAUGUGGUGUGAGUCUCCUGCCUGGACCCUGCCUACAAGGUGCAUUGUGACAUAUCUCUGGGCCCUUUAUUUUAUGUGACUCUCCUCUCUUACCUGGAUGUUGCCCAAAAAGAGAUUGUGACAUAAAUCUGGGCCCAGCACAGAAGUGACGUGACUCUCUUCUCCUGCCUGUUCCUUGCCCACUGAAGAGUGAAUGACUUAUUGCUGAGUUUAGCACACAGGUGAUGGGGAUUCUUCUGCCUGCUCACAGAAGUCAUUGUGACAUAUGUCUGGGCCUAUCACUAAGAUUAUGUGACUCUCUUCUUCGUGGAACCUGUCUACAGUGGGGAGUGUCACAUGUUGCUUGGCCCAGGACCUACAUGAUGCGACUCUCUUCUUAUGCCUAGGCCCUGCCCACUGGAGUGAUUUUGACAUGUAGCUGGGCCCA
rnacentral:lncRNA from 1 species